CUUCCGGGACUAAAGGCCCACCUUUUAGUCCCGGUUCAGGGAACCGGGGCUAUAGCCCCCCCUUUAACACUGGUUGGUUAUAGCAACCGGUUUUAAAGGGUCCUGCCAAGGCUGCCACGUUGCAGGACCCUUUAACACCGGUUAGUACCAACCGGUGUUAAAGGGGUCUUUUUUUAUUUUUUUGGUUCAUUUCUUCAGUUCUGUUUAUUGUUUAUAUAUAAUAAUAAUAAUAGGUUUGUCAAUACAUAUUUUAUGUUGAUAUAAUAAUAUAUAUAUUACAGGCAUAUUAAGCAUAAAUAUUAUUAUAGGCUUAGCUUUAUAAUUAACCUUUGCCUAUAAUAAAACGAAUAGGCCACAUCAAAAAUUAAAUAGAUGGAUAUGUAAAAAACUUUAUAUAUAGUUUUAUAAGUACAAAAUUCGUAACACAUAUAUGCAUAGAGUUUUUUUCUCGAAAUCUCUAAAACCGAUACAAAUGAUCAUC
rnacentral:lncRNA from 1 species